rnacentral:rRNA from 1 species
AGUGAACGCUGGCGGUAGGCCUAACACAUGCAAGUCGAACGGCAGCACAGGAGAGCUUGCUCUCUGGGUGGCGAGUGGCGGACGGGUGAGGAAUACAUCGGAAUCUACUCUGUCGUGGGGGAUAACGUAGGGAAACUUACGCUAAUACCGCAUACGACCUACGGGUGAAAGCAGGGGAUCUUCGGACCUUGCGCGAUUGAAUGAGCCGAUAUCGGAUUAGCUAGUUGGCGGGGUAAAGGCCCACCAAGGCGACGAUCCGUAGCUGGUCUGAGAGGAUGAUCAGCCACACUGGAACUGAGACACGGUCCAGACUCCUACGGGAGGCAGCAGUGGGGAAUAUUGGACAAUGGGCGCAAGCUUGAUCCAGCCAUACCGCGUGGGUGAAGAAGGCCUUCGGGUUGUAAAGCCCUUUUGUUGGGAAAGAAAUCCAGCUGGCUAAUACCCGGUUGGGAUGACGGUACCCAAAGAAUAAGCACCGGCUAACUUCGUGCCAGCAGCCGCCGUAA